rnacentral:rRNA from 1 species
GUUACUGGCUCAGGAUGAACGCUGGCGGCGUGCCUAACACAUGCAAGUCGAGCGAUUCUCUUCGGAGAAGAGCGGCGGACGGGUGAGUAACGCGUGGGUAACCUGCCUCAUACACAUGGAUAACAUACCGAAAGGUAUGCUAAUACAGGAUAAUAUAAGAGAUUCACAUGGAUUUCUUAUCAAAGCUCCGGCGGUAUGAGAUGGACCCGCGUCUGAUUAGCUAGUUGGUAAGGUAACGGCUUACCAAGGCGACGAUCAGUAGCCGACCUGAGAGGGUGAUCGGCCACAUUGGAACUGAGACACGGUCCAAACUCCUACGGGAGGCAGCAGUGGGGAAUAUUGCACAAUGGGCGAAAGCCUGAUGCAGCAACGCCGCGUGAGUGAUGAAGGCCUUCGGGUCGUAAAACUCUGUCCUCAAGGAAGAUAAUGACGGUACUUGAGGAGGAAGCCCCGGCUAACUACGUGCCAGCCGCCGC